ensembl:lncRNA
AGAUCAUCUAGCAACACAUGGCAGUUAGUGUGUUUACUAGUGUGUUUACUCCCAGUCAUGCACUCCAACUACUCACCUCUGCCACCUCUUUGCACUAGUCCAAGCUGAUUCAGUAGAAGAAAAAAAGCCGACAGGUAUACAAGCACCUAGAAUUUAGAAUGCUGAAGUGUUCUCAGUGCACUGUCUGCAGAUGAAGAAGCAGCGUGUGCAUGUAGAGUUGCUCGUACCCAAAGGACAAGAACAGUCAGCUGUGAUGUGACUGGACUGAAUGAAGAAUGAGCAAAUGUAUGAAACUUUCUCUACAUGAAAAGAAUGUGGAAUUCUGUGUUUCUUUUGGAUGAAGAGGGGAGAGAACUCAUAAAGAAAGUGUGUGAAUUUUCCUGGGUAAUUUUUGUCUGUGUUUGUUGUUUUUUUUAAUCUUCAACAAACAGAAAAUCAAAAUCACUUUUCCUCAUUUUGGUUUUCAACUUCAUUCUUUCUGCUUAUUCAACAGUGUAGCAAAGGCAGUCAGAGACAGAAAAAGAUUUAAAUACCUGAAUAUUCAAACAUUUGAGGUUUUUUUUUUUUUUCCCAACAACUUUGAAUAUUAGGUUGGAAAUGUAUUAAACUUUUUAACCCAGGGGUCCAAAAACCCUACCUUUCAGAAGUUUAAAAAAAUCUGUUUGUUUUUUUUUUUCCCCACUAGAAAUAGAUAAUCAUUCAAUACAUUUAGG